AUUCGGGCUGAUAACUAGGCGGCGGUUUCGAAUCUUAACCCACUCCACAACGUCUGCCCUUUAAGUGCCCGAUAUAUUGAAGAUUGUUUCAUUGAAACAUGUGAAGAUCUUACAAGUUUCCAAAACUCCUUUUUUUUUCUUCGUGUUUGGCAGCUUUUAAAUCUUCGCUACAUCC
rnacentral:snoRNA from 1 species